AUUCUCUCAGAUAGAACCUUGUAACUUACGUAUUUCAGCCACCUGUUAAUAGAUGUCGGUGCUAGUAUCAUAUUAAGGUGAAGAACAUAAAAUAGAACCUUGUAACUUACGUAUUUCAGCCACCUGUUAAUAGAUGUCGGUGCUAGUAUCAUAUUAAGGUGAAGAACAUAAAGUAGAACCAAGUUAUAUAAAAAUCUCAGUUUAGA
rnacentral:lncRNA from 1 species